rnacentral:rRNA from 1 species
UACAGAGGUGGCAAGCGUUGUUCGGAAUUACUGGGCGUAAAGGGCGCGUAGGCGGCCUUCUAAGUCGGACGUGAAAGCCCCAGGCUUAACCUGGGAACUGCGUCCGAUACUGGGAGGCUUGGAUUCGGGAGAGGGAUGUGGAAUUCCAGGUGUAGCGGUGAAAUGCGUAGAUAUCUGGAGGAACACCGGUGGCGAAGGCGGCAUCCUGGACCAAUAUUGACGCUGAGGAGCGAAAGCCAGGGGAGCAAACGGG